GAUCUUGUAGUUAAUUUAGGAACAUUCACUCCAGAAAAUAGCUGUACCUACAGUCUCAAAGAAAGCAUGAUAGUGCAUUUGUUUCAUUUGGAAUGGGGACAGUGUGGCAUUGCUAAAGGAAGGAUUUAUGACAAUGAAUGAACUGAUUAUACAAUAAAAGAGAAGGAAUUGCAGUUAAUUUUGAUGCUACUGAAGUAAUAUAUACUUCUGAUGUCUUCACUUUGCAACAUUAUGGAGUUAAUUUUGAAUUUUCGGGGAAGAGGCAACUGGAAAUUAAUUUGGAAAGGACUGAAACAACAGGUUGUCUGCAGUGGUUUUCCUCUUGGAUUUGGCUUGCCCAUUAAACUUCAACAACAAAAUACUCCUUCCUGCAGUUAAUUAAGAUUAUCGAACAAAUGAGUUCAGUUUAGCUGUACUGAAACGGCCAUGUCUACAUGGGUGUUGUCUUUUCUGGACUUAGUCUUGAUUUGCUAUUUUUGUCUUCACCUCGCAACGUAUGCAGUUAAUUUUCAACCGAUAAGUGGAAGCAACUGGAAACUUAUUUGAACAACAGACUUUCUGCCGUGGUAUUCUGGAUUUGGUUUGCUUUUUACACCUGCAAACAUUGAGAGGUUGCAGUCUACAGUUAAUUAAGAUCGACGCUGGAGAAGACAAAGAUGACCCCGUAGUUGAAA